rnacentral:piRNA from 1 species
UCACAGAACAUUCCCUCAGCAUGUGCCU